rnacentral:rRNA from 1 species
GACGAACGCUGGCGGCGUGCUUAACACAUGCAAGUCGAACGGAAAGGCCCUGCUUUUGUGGGGUGCUCGAGUGGCGAACGGGUGAGUAACACGUGAGUAACCUGCCCUUGACUUUGGGAUAACUUCAGGAAACUGGGGCUAAUACCGGAUAGGAGCUCCUGCUGCAUGGUGGGGGUUGGAAAGUUUCGGCGGUUGGGGAUGGACUCGCGGCUUAUCAGCUUGUUGGUGGGGUAGUGGCUUACCAAGGCUUUGACGGGUAGCCGGCCUGAGAGGGUGACCGGCCACGUGGGGGCUGGGAACGGGCCGAGCCCCCGCGGGGGGGGAGAGGGGGAAAAAUUGGAAGAGGGGGGGAGAGCUGGAAAAAGAAGCGCCCGGGGGGGGAGAGGGGCUUUCGGGUUGAAACCCGCUUCCGCGGGGGACGAAGGGGGGGGGAGGGUAUGGUGUAAAGAGACCCGGACUACGAACGGC